CAGUAGCCGCGGGAAUACGGAGGGGGCUAGCGUUGUUCGGAAUUACUGGGCGUAAAGCGCACGUAGGCGGCUUUGUAAGUUAGAGGUGAAAGCCCGGAGCUCAACUCCGGAGUUGCCUUUAAGACUGCAGAGCUAGCAGGUGAGAGAGGUGAGUGGAAUUCCGAGUGUAGAGGUGAAAUUCGUAGAUAUUCGGAAGAACACCAGUGGCGAAGGCGGCUCACUGGCUCAUACUGGACGCUGAGGUGCGAAAGCGUGGGGAGCAAACAGGAUUAGAUACCCCCGUAGUCCCUGUCUCUUAUAC
rnacentral:rRNA from 1 species